CACGUAGGGGGCGAGCGUUGUCCGGAUUUAUUGGGCGUAAAGAGCUCGUAGGCGGCUCAGUAAGUCGGGUGUGAAAACUCCAGGCUCAACCUGGAGACGCCACCCGAUACUGCUGUGGCUAGAGUCCGGUAGGGGAGCAUGGAAUUCCUGGUGUAGCGGUGAAAUGCGCAGAUAUCGGGAAGAACACCCGUGGCUAAGGCGGCUCUCUAGUACGGUACUGACGCUGAGACGCGAAAGCAUGGGGAGCGAACAGG
rnacentral:rRNA from 1 species